GAUGAACGCUAGCGGCAGGCCUAAUACAUGCAAGUCGGACGGGAUUCGGGUGCUUGCACCUGAUGAGAGUGGCGCACGGGUGCGUAACACGUAUGUAACCUACCUUAGUCAGGGGGAUAGCCUCUCGAAAGAGAGAUUAAGACCGCAUAACAUCAUUGAAUGGCAUCGUUUGAUGAUCAAAUAUUUAUAGGACUAAGAUGGGCAUGCGCAACAUUAGCUAGUUGGUGUGGUAACGGCAUACCAAGGCUACGAUGUUUAGGGGAUCUGAGAGGAUGACCCCCCACACUGGUACUGAGACACGGACCAGACUCCUACGGGAGGCAGCAGUAAGGAAUAUUGGUCAAUGGACGGAAGUCUGAACCAGCCAUGCCGCGUGCAGGAAGACGGCCCUAUGGGUUGUAAACUGCUUUUGCAGGGGAAUAAACCUUCUUACGAGUAGGAAGUUGAAUGUACCUUGAGAAUAAGGAUCGGCUAACUCCGUGCCAGCCGCCGCGGUAACAC
rnacentral:rRNA from 1 species